UUAGGUUCUGCUUAAGCAAUGAAGUGCGUUGAAUUUAGAAUUCAAAGAUAGUAUUAAAUACAGGUAGAG
rnacentral:tRNA from 1 species